AUUGAACGCUGGCGGCAUGCCUUACACAUGCAAGUCGAACGGUAACAGGUCUUCGGAUGCUGACGAGUGGCGAACGGGUGAGUAAUACAUCGGAACGUGCCCGACCGUGGGGGAUAACGCAGCGAAAGCUGUGCUAAUACCGCAUACGAUCUACGGAUGAAAGCGGGGGAUCGCAAGACCUCGCGCGGACGGAGCGGCCGAUGGCAGAUUAGGUAGUUGGUGGGAUAAAAGCUUACCAAGCCGACGAUCUGUAGCAGGUCUGAGAGGACGACCAGCCAAGCUGGGACUGAGACACGGGCCAGACUCCUACGGGAGGCAGCAGUGGGGAAUUUUGGACAGUGGGUGCAAGCCUGAUCCAGCCAUGCCGCGUGCAGUAUGAAGGCCUUCGGGUUGUAAACUGCUUUUGUACGGAACGAAAAAGCUCUCUCUAAUACAGGGGGUGAAUGACGGUACCGUAAGAAUAAGCACCGGCUAACUACGUGCCAGCAGCCGCAGUAA
rnacentral:rRNA from 1 species